rnacentral:rRNA from 1 species
GACGAACGCUGGCGGCGUGCUUAACACAUGCAAGUCGAGCGGUAAGGCCCUUUCGGGGGUACACGAGCGGCGAACGGGUGAGUAACACGUGGGUGACCUGCCCUUAGCUCUGGGAUAAGCCUGGGAAACUGGGCCUAAUACCGGAUAUGACUCCAUGACGCAUGUUGUGGGGUGGAAAGCCUUGUGCGGCUAGGGAUGGGCCCGCGGCCUAUCAGCUUGUUGGUGGGGUGAUGGCCUACCAAGGCGACGACGGGUAGCCGGCCUGAGAGGGCGACCGGCCACACUGGGACUGAGACACGGCCCAGACUCCUACGGGAGGCAGCAGUGGGGAAUCUUGCGCAAUGGGCGAAAGCCUGACGCAGCGACGCCGCGUGGGGAUGACGGCCU